rnacentral:rRNA from 1 species
GGCUUAGAGUUUGAUCAUGGCUCAGGACGAACGCUGGCGGCGUGCUUAACACAUGCAAGUCGAACGAGGCUUCAGAAGCUUGCUUUUGAAGCCGAGUGGCAAACGGGUGAGUAACGCGUAAACAACCUGCCUUCAGGAUGGGGACAACAGACGGAAACGACUGCUAAUACCGAAUACCUUCCGGAGACCGCAUGAUCUCCGGAAGAAAGGGUGGCCUCUACUUGUAAGCUAUCGCCUGAAGAGGGGUUUGCGUCUGAUUAGGCAGUUGGCGGGGUAACGGCCCACCAAACCGACGAUCAGUAGCCGGUCUGAGAGGAUGAACGGCCACACUGGAACUGAGACACGGUCCAGACUCCUACGGGAGGCAGCAGUGGGGAAUCUUCCGCAAUGGACGAGAGUCUGACGGAGCAACGCCGCGUGAGUGAUGACGGCCUUCGGGUUGUAAAGCUCUUUGAUCCGGGACGAAUGGUCCCUGUGCGAAUACCACAGGGAAGUGACGGUACCGGAAGAACAAGCCACGGCUAACUACGUGCCAGCAGCCGCGGUAAUACGUAGGUGGCAAGCGUUGUCCGGAAUUAUUGGGCGUAAAGCGCGCGCAGGCGGCCCCUUAAGUCCAUCUUAAAAGCGUGGGGCUUAACCCCAUGAUGGGAUGGAAACUGGAGAGCUGGAGUAUCGGAGAGGAAAGCG